rnacentral:rRNA from 1 species
CCUGAUGACCAUAGCAAGUUGGUACCACUCCUUCCCAUCCCGAACAGGACAGUGAAACGACUUUGCGCCGAUGAUAGUGCGGGUUCCCGUGUGAAAGUAGGUCAUCGUCAGGCUCUUAUAGCCCCAAACCCCCUCAGUCUCCAAAGGACUGGGGGGUUUUGCGUUUGGG